rnacentral:rRNA from 1 species
CGUGCGUCCGUCCGUCCCCUCGCGACGCGUUAACGAACCCCGGCGCGAAUCGCGCCAAGGAAAUCUCAACGAGAGAGCCCGCUCCUGUCGCCCCGGAAACGGUGUGCGCGCGGGAUGCGUGGCCUUCUUUCAAUAUCUAUAACGACUCUCGGCAACGGAUAUCUCGGCUCUCGCAUCGAUGAAGAACGUAGCGAAAUGCGAUACUUGGUGUGAAUUGCAGAAUCCCGUGAACCAUCGAGUCUUUGAACGCAAGUUGCGCCCCAAGCCGUUAGGCCGAGGGCACGUCUGCCUGGGUGUCACGCAUCGUCGCCCCCCCUCCCCAGACCCUGCGGUCUCGCGGGCGGCGGGGGCGGAGAAUGGCCUCCCGUGUGCUCGCGCACGCGGUUGGCCCAAACCCGAGUCCUCGGUGACGCUUUCCCGCGACAAUCGGUGGCGUUUGAAACACGACCUAGUGAUCCUGUCGUGCGGGGGCGUUCUCCGUUCUGAGGACUCCUCGACCCUCGGGAGCCGGCGCGAGCCGGCUCGCAUCGCGACCCCAGGUCAGGC